rnacentral:lncRNA from 1 species
ACGGAGUUUCACUCUUGUUGCCCAGGCUGGAGUACAAUGGUGCAAUCUCAGCUCACUGCAACCUCUGCCACCUGGGUUCAAGUGAUUCUCCUGCCUCAGCCUCCGGAGUAGCUGGGAUUACAGGCACAAAUUUGGGGACGGUCGGUCCAAGACCCAGCCUGUGGCACCACUGGACACAGAAGUCUUCCUCAGCUGCUCUGCAUUGAACGAUCACUGUGGGAUAAUGUCAUCAAAAUAGACAAAGGAUGGUCUGGAGAAUCUCACUUCCUACUUCUCAGGAAGCUAAAUGGGAAUUCCAGCAUUCUGAGGUGAGGGUUUCCUCAACUAGCCCACCAUGGAGAAGGUGAUACAGGACUGAGUGGAAGAAAGGCCACUGACUCGGAAUACUGGGAGACUUGUCAAGUCAUCUAGCACGUCUGACUGUCAAUCCAUACAUAAAACAGAGAAAUACACACCAACGUGAGACAAAAAGAACUGGAGUCUGGUGAGAUAGAGAAGAACUAGAGAGUACACACAGAACAUAAAUAGGACAUGUGUGGUACAAGAAGAGGAGAAGUCAAGAUUCAGCUGGACAGAGGCUCCCUGAGUCAGCAUUUCCAAUGGUUUGUUUCAUGUUUAUCCAGUCUCUAUGGUGUUUUAUACAGGUUUUGUUGAAAAGAGCCAUGUGGGCAAGUUAAGUUGAAAAAUUUGGAUUAAGCAAAUGUGAUCAGGUUCCUUUAUUCUUCUUAGUGCUCUGUGCUAAUACAUAUGGAACCCAAUGGGAGGGGAAGACAGAGGUGGGAGGAUGUCCCAACUUAUUUCAACACAAACCCCAUUUUUUAUAGAGCAGCCAGUGAGAUUAGUACUUCAUAAAACACACUUGAGAACAUCUUAUCAAGAAAAACUAAAAGUUUAUAUGAAUUCUUACAGAGGUGGAAUUGAAUGUUAUCACUAGAAUUUUGCGAUUUUUAAUUUGUUAUAUGGUUCAGUAAACAAAAAAAUGAUAAUAAAAUUUCAGAGUAUCUAUUUGAACAAGGUUGUCCCUACUGAAACACUCCAGUCAAUGCCCCCACUGGCAGAAUAGGCAAAGCAGUAAAUCUGCAGCACACAUUUUGUUACUGAAACACCAGGGUUCAGUCGAGGUCCUGCUGCUGGCGACACAGAAAGCCAAUCACUGAGACAACAUGUACUCCAGGGAAGAAGGCUUUAAUCAGUCUCUCCAGCCAAGGAGAUGGGAGCUCAGUCUCAAAUCCAUCUCCCUGACUGACUAAAAUUAGGGGGUUAUAUGGCAGGGAAGAAAUGUAACCAUGUGUGGGAAAACAGUAACUAAGGAGGGGUAAGGAAGCAGUCCUAAUGAAUGAGGAGCCUAGUGUCUCAUUGUCUGGAUGCCGUGAUCUUGUGAGUUUCAGUUCUUUGAUACUUUUUGAGAGGCCUGGGGGUCCUCUUCUGAGGAAAGAACUCAGAUAAAACAAAUGUAAGUUUUAAGCUUUAAGGCCAGAAGGGGCAAUUCCUAUCUUUAUCCAAAAAAGCUAUCUAUGGGACUAUUGGGUCAGUUUCAAUUUGAGAACAGCACCUCAAGAAAGGGCCACAUCUUACACUGUGUUCACUUGUGCACAGUCUCAUUGAGAGUUGUAGUUUUGCAUAUAGGACAUUUCAAUAAAAUGGAAACACACAAUUAUGGGUACCCUACACGUGGAGCAUGAGGUCACAGCCCAGCAACUCCAUCUGGGGCCAUUUCACCCAAGCUGCAAAUAUAGUGUCUAGAAAAGCUAUUAGUGUCGAGAAUGUUGACCUUACAAACCAGUUAUUUAAAGUGAUCAUAGUUUGCAGAAAAGAUUACCUUCUGAAAGAGGUAAGAGACCCCAAUCAAUAUAAUCUGAGUAUCUUAAGUAAAAUUAGGAAAAUAUCUCAGAAAUUAUUGUUGGGAAACUUGAUGUGGUUGUUAUGCAAGCAAUCCAGGAAAAAAACAACCAAACACACACAGACUAACAAAUAAACCCUCCCUAUUCAUUGUCAGGCCCAGUGUAAGCCAUCAGCUAGGAUAUGUUGUUUUGCUGAUGGUGAGGUCACAGGGCAAAAAGAACAUGAGAUCAUUCAGUAAACAAGACCAACUGGAAAACUAGUUUUGCAUCCCCAUGCCCAACCACCCAUCAGUCACAUGCUUACAUUUAGGUAUGUUAGCUAACUACAUCUCUCUACAAAAACCAUGCAUAUUUCACAAUCCCCAAAUGGGUCACAAAGUCAUUCAUGGGUCUUAUUUUUAUCCAGUCUCCCAGGAGCAAA